rnacentral:rRNA from 1 species
AGACCGUUCUCUUCAGAGGCCGGUCAUUGGAAUGGGUACAAUUUAAACCCUUUAACGAGUAUCUAUGAGAGGGCAAGUCUGGUGCCAGCAGCCGCGGUAAUUCCAGCUCUCAAAAUGCAUAGAAUCAUUGCUGCGGUUAAAAAGCUCGUAGUUGGAUCUGUGCUGGCGGGUCGGUCCACCUUCGGGUGCGCACUGAUUUCGCCGGCUUUCCUGCUGUAUUUGGCCCUGUGCCCUUCAACGGGUGCAGUGUCCAGUGCAGCAAGUUUACCUUGAACAAAUCAGAGUGCUUCAAACAGGCGUUUCGCUUGAAUGUUCGUGCAUGGAAUAAUAGAAGAGGAUUUCGGUUCUAUUUUAUUGGUUUUAUAGACUGAGAUAAUGGUUGACAGAGACUAACGGGGGCAUUAGUAUUGCUACGUGAGAGGUGAAAUUCUUGGACCGUAGCAAGACUGACUACAGCGAAAGCAUUUGCCAAGAAAGUCUUCAUUAAUCAAGAACGAAAGUCAGAGGUUCGAAGGCGAUCAGAUACCGCCCUAGUUCUGACCGUAAACGAUGCCAACUAGUGAUCCGCCGGUGGAACAUUCGCCCUGGUGGGGAACUUCCCGGAAACGAAAGUCUUCCGGUUCCGGGGGAAGUAUGGUUGCAAAGCUGAAACUUAAAGGAAUUGACGGAAGGGCACCACCAGGAGUGGAGCCUGCGGCUUAAUUUGACCCAACACGGGAAAACUCACCCGGCCCGGACACCGUAAGGAUUGACAGAUUGAUAGCUCUUUCAUGAUUCGGUGGAUGGUGGUGCAUGGCCGUUCUUAGUUCGUGGAGCGAUUUGUCUGGUUUAUUCCGAUAACGAGCGAGACUCUGGCCUACUAAAUAGUUUACACAUUGCUUCUGUGUGCAUAACUUCUUAGAGGGAUUUCGGUGUUCAGCCGCAAGAAAUUGAGCAAUAACAGGUCUGUGAUGCCCUUAGAUGUCCGGGGCUGCACGCGCGCUACACUGGCAAAAUCAGCGUGCUUGUCCUUCCCCGAAAGGGGUUGGUAAACUCGUGAAAAUUUGCCGUGAUUGGGAUCGGAAAUUGCAAUUAUUUUCCGUGAACGAGGAAUUCCAAGUAAGUGCGAGUCAUCAACUCGCGUUGAUUACGUCCCUGCCCUUUGUACACACCGCCCGUCGCUGCCCGGGACUGAGCCGUUUCGAGAAACUUGGAGACCGCCGAUCUGGUAACUUCGAUUGCCAUUUUGGUGGGAACCAAUUUAA